rnacentral:snRNA from 1 species
AGGUGAACUAGGUUCCAG